rnacentral:misc_RNA from 1 species
AAAUAUGAACGGCUUUAUCUUACCUUUAAUUAAAAUAAGGUUGUUUUAAUAAAGAGCACGAGUACGAUGUUUUGAAUAUUUAAGGAUUUCAUAUUAAGUUACAAUGACGAGCAGAUACAUAGUUGGUCAAAAAAGUAAUUGCCUCAUAAUAGCUGCCAUUGAAAUAGGGAACAGUCACGGUUGCUACUCGUUUGGAUGGUGUGGCGAAUUGAGAAAGGACCCUAAUAAUAUUAAAAUAAAGAACGAUUGGAGAGGAUCGAAUAAUACGUUUUAUAAAGGAAAUGUCCCGUUAGCGGUAUUAUUUGAUGAAAAGAAAAUAUUUCAUAGUUUCGGUUACGAUGCAGAAGACAAAUACGCAGAACUAUCUGUAAAUAAUGAACACUUCAGUUGGUACUUCUUUAGAGAAUUUAAGACGUUUUGGCAAAGGAAAAGAAUGACGAUACGCACAUAUCAGUGUACAAGCGAAAUACAGAUGUAGGACAACUGGAGCUUCUUAACGCAACGGAAGGACCUUGGGGAGGAACCUUUGUUGAUGACCAAUUGUAUUCGAUGCUCUCAAUAAUUAUUGGACGUUCAGUGCACCAGAUGUUAGUAGACUUUGAUAGAACUGAUAUUUUGGAUUUUCAGCGUAAGUUAAAGACGAAAUGGAUGACAACUAGAACGUCUCACGAUCAGGAAAAAGUAAGAAUUGUUUUGUAUGACUGCAACUUUUCAAGUUGUAUCAUGAAAGGUAUUCUUCAAGCGACAAAGCCUAACAAAGGGACAAUCUUUUGGGGUGCAAGCAAAUUUGGAAUAAAAACAGAAACAUACGAAACCCUCUUUAAACCAUGCAUCGGUGAAAUAGUGCGUCACGUUAAGGACAUACUUUUACAACCAAAUAGUGUAGAGACAAAUACAUAUAUACUGGUUGGAGAAUUAUCAGAAUCUCCUAUUUUUCAAGACGCCAUAAAGAAAGCGCUGCUGAACGGUAAAUUCAUUAUUCCGCUUAAUCCAAGUAAGGCAGUAUGUAGAGGAGCUGUACAGUUUGCUCACAAACCCUUAAGUGUCACUCCAACAUCUCCUAAGCAUGCCGAAUCGGUUAAAGAAACACUGACACAUAUAUUCCAUUGUGGCAUUAAUCCUUUUUUAUUUCACUGACUUCAUUAGGAGGCUACAUGUACCUGUCAAUCCAAACUUGAAAACUAGAAAAUGAUUUAUAAACGCGUCAACAUAUAAGAGCCGCACUGUAAAUACCUUUCGAAAUGUCGCAUUUAUCCUGUUUAAAAUGAUCGGUAUGUUGUUUGCCUUGAAAACCUAGAAUUGUGUGUUUUCUUUUUUAUACAUUUUGCGUGUAUUGCUUUAAAAUGAUUAAAAGUGUUAUCAUACUCGA